CAAGGCGAUAUAUCAUAUACAAGGAAAAUGCAGAUGCUCGAUCAUAAGGUUCAUUAAAAUAGUUGCCAAUAAUCAGUAAGACUUGAAAGAAUUCAGCAAAAUUUUUAUCCUCCAUAAUACUGUCCGAAGUGUCAAUGACUUCUUUCAUACGAACUUCAAGUAUUUCCAAAUCACCAAACAACGUCGAGCGAAAUUUUAGAGCUUUCAUCCUUUCUUGGAAAUAGUGCCGAAGGUUAACGACGAACAAUACAAAAAAUUUCUCAAAAUAAGAUAAACUGUUCACAUCCGCCGUUGGUUCUUUUGGAUUUUUCUUUGUGUAAUCCGUACUAUAAGGAAUGAAUGGAUCGGUAUAGGCAUUGGUAGAUGCAAGGCUAGCGCGGUCAAAGUAUAAAAUUGAGGCCGGUAAAAAGUCGGGUUCGACUAAAAACUUUUGAACUAAGUCCUCCACUGGCAUAUUAGAUACAGACCGCAAAAUAAUAGCCAUAUUUUGUUCAACUGUAUCAGGUA